rnacentral:rRNA from 1 species
ACGAACGCUGGCGGCGUGCUUAACACAUGCAAGUCGAACGAUGAAGCUGGGGCUUGCUCUGGUGGAUUAGUGGCGAACGGGUGAGUAACACGUGAGUAACCUGCCCUUGACUCUGGGAUAAGCGUUGGAAACGACGUCUAAUACCGGAUACGACCUUCCGCCGCAUGGUGAGGGGGUGGAAAGAUUUUUUGGUCAAGGAUGGACUCGCGGCCUAUCAGCUUGUUGGUGAGGUAAUGGCUCACCAAGGCGACGACGGGUAGCCGGCCUGAGAGGGUGACCGGCCACACUGGGACUGAGACACGGCCCAGACUCCUACGGGAGGCAGCAGUGGGGAAUAUUGCACAAUGGGCGAAAGCCUGAUGCAGCAACGCCGCGUGAGGGAUGACGGCCUUCGGGUUGUAAACCUCUUUUAGUAGGGAAGAAGCGAAAGUGACGGUACCUGCAGAAAAAGCACCGGCUAACUACGU